GCAGCAGAGGGGGAAUUUUCCGCAAUGGGCGAAAGCCUGACGGAGCAACGCCGCGUGAGGGAUGAAGGCCNCUGGGCUGUAAACCUCUCUUUAUCAAGGAAGAAGAUCUGACGGUACUAUGAUGAAUAAGCCACGGCUAAUUCCGUGCCAGCAGCCGCGGUAAU
rnacentral:rRNA from 1 species